GCCAUACAGCUAGCCCAAGUACCCAAAUAACACACAAUAUUAAUAAAAACCCCAUAAACUACCACAACAUAAACUAAAACAUUUUACCGCCCGAGUAUGUGAGACAGAAAAGGCACCACUUUAUGAGCCAUAGAAAUAGUACCGCAAGGGAACGCUGAAAGAGAAAUGAAACAAAUCAUCAAAGCACAACAAAGCAAAGAUUAAAACUUGUACCUUUCGCAUCAUGAUUUAGCCAGCCCCACUGAGCAAAAUGAAUUUUAGUUCAAAGCCCCGAAACUAAGUGAGCUACCCCGAGACAGCCUAUUACCAGGGCCAACCCGUCUCUGUGGCAAAAGAGUGGGAAGAUCUCCGGGUAGAGGCGAUAAACCUACCGAACUUAGUUAUAGCUGGUUGCCUAAAAAAUGAAUAGAAGUUCAGCCUCACACUCCUUAACUCAAAACCUAUAAUUAAAUGAACCAAAGAAACAUGUGAGAGUUAUUCAUAAGGGGUACAGCCCUUAAGAAACAGAAUACAACCUCACCAGGAGGUUAAAGAUUACAUUAAACAAGACAUACUGCUCCAGUGGGCCUAAAAGCAGCCACCUAAACAGAAAGCGUUAAAGCUCCGGCAGAACAAAUUCCACUAUUUAAAUAUUAAAUCUAAAACCCCUAACCCCAUUAGGCUACCCCAUGCCCACAUGGGAGCAAUACUGCUAAAAUGAGUAAUAAGAAGAAACUUUCUUCUCCAGGCCCACGUAUAUACUAGAUCGGAAACCCCACUAGUAAUUAUCGAACCCAACCCAAGAGGGAAAUGUGAUAAUAUAAAAUAUCAAGAAACGCCCACAUAAACCCAAUCGUUAACCCCACACCGGAAAGCCAAUAUAAGGAAAGACCAAAAAAAAGGGAAGGAACUCGGCAAACAACCAAGCCUCGCCUGUUUACCAAAAACAUCGCCUCCUGCAAAAUCAAUGUAUAGGAGGUCCUACCUGCCCAGUGACAAAUUUUUAAACGGCCGCGGUAUUUUGACCGUGCGAAGGUAGCGCAAUCACUUGUCUUUUAAAUGAGGACCUGUAUGAAUGGUGAAACGAGGGCUUAGCUGUCUCCCCUUUCAAGUCAAUGAAAUUGAUCUGCCCGUGCAGAAGCGGACAUAAAAAUACAAGACGAGAAGACCCUUUGGAGCUUAAGACAUGAGAUCACCUAUGUCAAGGACCCAACACACUAGUCAAACUAAAUAACAAUUGAUCUUAAUCUUCGGUUGGGGCGACCACGGGAGAAAAUAAAGCUCCCAUGCGGACUGGGAUACCCCCCUAAAAUCAAGAGAGACACCUCUAAACAACAGAACUUCUGACCAUGAAGAUCCGGCUAUCUGCCGACCAACGAACCAAGUUACCCCAGGGAUAACAGCGCAAUCCCCUUUCAGAGUCCAUAUCGACAAGGGGGUUUACGACCUCGAUGUUGGAUCAGGACAUCCUAAUGGUGUAGCCGCUAUUAAGGGUUCGUUUGUUCAACGAUUAAAGUCCUACGUGAUCUGAGUUCAGACCGGAGCAAUCCAGGUCAGUUUCUAUCUGUAAUGCCACUAUUCCUAGUACGAAAGGACCGGAAUGAGAGGGGCCCAUGUCACUAAACACGCCCCACCACAACUUAAUGUAAUCAACUAAAUUAAAUAAAAGGAGGGCACAAACCCAAAUCAAGAUAAGAUUA
rnacentral:rRNA from 1 species